rnacentral:misc_RNA from 1 species
CUGCUUCCUCUUUCUCUUUCUCUCUCUCUGUGCGACCGCGAAGUUGAAGCGUUUUUGUAGUUUCUGAGUGUGGGGUUCGAUCUGGGUGUUCGGUUCAAUAGAAUUGGGUGGCUUGAAGGUUUAUUCUNNNNNNUGAAUCGUGUUCCGCUUUCACAGGUACUUCAAGUGGUAUUGGUGCCAGAAACAGAAGUGGCGAACUUUUGGCUGAGAGAGACAUUAUGCGGUGGUUUUUGAGUCUUUCUGUUGAUGUGUAUAGGAAAGU